rnacentral:rRNA from 1 species
UACGUAGGGGGCAAGCGUUGUCCGGAUUUAUUGGGCGUAAAGAGCGUGUAGGCGGCCAAGCAGGUCCGCUGUGAAAACUCGAGGCUCAACCUCGAGACGUCGGUGGAAACCGUUUGGCUAGAGUCCGGAAGAGGAGAGUGGAAUUCCCGGUGUAGCGGUGAAAUGCGUAGAGAUCGGGAGGAACACCAGAGGCGAAAGCGGCGACCUGGACAGGCACUGACACUCAACUACGAAAGCGUGGGGAGCAAACAGG